rnacentral:rRNA from 1 species
GACGAACGCUGGCGGCGUGCUUAACACAUGCAAGUCGAACGGAAAGGCCCUGCUUUUGUGGGGUGCUCGAGUGGCGAACGGGUGAGUAACACGUGAGUAACCUGCCCUUGACUUUGGGAUAACUUCAGGAAACUGGGGCUAAUACCGGAUAGGAGCUCCUGCUGCAUGGUGGGGGUUGGAAAGUUUCGGCGGUUGGGGAUGGACUCGCGGCUUAUCAGCUUGUUGGUGGGGUAGUGGCUUACCAAGGCUUUGACCGGUAGCCGGCCUGAGAGGGUGACCGGCCACAUUGGGACUGAGAUACGGCCCAGACUCCUACGGGAGGCAGCAGUGGGGAAUAUUGCACAAUGGGCGGAAGCCUGAUGCAGCAACGCCGCGUGCGGGAUGACGGCCUUCGGGUUGUAAACCGCUUUCGCCUGUGACGAAGCGUGAGUGACGGUAAUGGGUAAAGAAGCACCGGCUAACUACGUG